AGCGGAAUAAGAAAUUGAGCGCAUGUGAGUGAAAAGUGCAAAAGUGAAAAAUGAAAGCGCAUGUGAAGAAAAACAGUUAAAUGUACCGCAAGGACUAAAGAAAGGAGCGGAAUUAGAAAUCGAGCGCAAGUGAGUGAAAGUGAAAAGUGCAAAAUGAAAGCGCAUGUGAAUAAAAACAGUUAAAUGUACCGCAAGGACUAAGGAAAGGAGCGGAAUAAAAAAUCGAGCGCAAGUGAGUGAAAAAAGAAAAUAAAAUGAGGCGAUAUGGUCACAGAGCAGCAUCUUUAAGCAGCGGAAGGAGAACCGUACCAUUACUGAGAGAGAGUUAAGAGCGGAGGAGGAGCAUAUGUAAAAUGCAAGACCCCCAGAGCGGAUGAUCAUAGCUCUUUUUGAUUUUGUCUCGGGAAGAGAAGACCGAAAGAUAUAACCAUCAACUUCAAGAGAAAGAAUAUGCUGAAAGAUAUCUAUCCAUGGAUCGAAAGUCUAAAAAGCAAAGUUUAAGCAGAUGAAACUUAUAAAAGAAAUGGGGAGAAAGACGACGACAAACGAUAGAGAAACAAACGGUAGAGAGGCCUCUCCAGUUUACAGUUUGCAUCCAUUGCUUUGGCUUAAUUAUCUAUUUAUGAUGUCCGCUGGCGUCUGCCUGCCAGCUAUACAUAUAU